UCUGGCUCAGGAUGAACGCUGGCGGCGUGCCUAACACAUGCAAGUCGAACGGACUUAUUAUGAUGAUUCGGUCUGAAUUUAAGUUAGUGGCGGACGGGUGAGUAACGCGUGGACAACCUGCCUUCACAGGGGGAUAGCAGCUGGAAACGGCUGGUAAUACCGCAUACGCGAGAGAUGCCGCAUGACAUCACUCGGAAAGAUUUAUCGGUGAAAAGAUGGAUCCGCGUCUGAUUAGCCAGUUGGCGGGUAACGGCCGCCAAGCGACGAUCAGUAGCCGGCCUGAGAGGGCGGACGGCCACAUUGGGACUGAGACACGGCCCAGACUCCUACGGGAGGCAGCAGUGGGGGAUAUUGCACAAUGGGCGCAAGCCUGAUGCAGCCGACGCCGCGUGAGUGAAGAAGUAUUUCGGUAUGUAAAGCUCUAUCAGCAGGGAAGAAAGGCCCGAAAGGGAGAUGACGGUACCUGACUAAGAAGCCCCGGCUAACUACGUGCCAGCCGCCGC
rnacentral:rRNA from 1 species